rnacentral:rRNA from 1 species
GUGCCAACCGCCGCGGUAAUACCGGCAGCCCGAGUGAUGACCGAUCUUAUUGGGCCUAAAGCGUCCGUAGCUGGCUACGCAAGUCCGUCGGGAAAUCCACUCGCUCAACGGGCGGCCGUCCGGCGGAACCUGUGUGGCUUGGGACCGGGAGGCCUGAGGGGUACGAUCGGGGUAGGAGUGAAAUCCUGUAAUCCCGCUCGGACCGCCGAUGGGGAAACCACCUCAGGAGAACGGAUCCGACAGUGAGGGACGAAAGCCAGGGUCUCGAACCGGAUUAGAUACCCGAGUAGUUC